UGAAACAAAUUUGAUAUAUAAAUAAUGGACAAUUGAAAUAGACUUUGUAUAACAGUAAUUAAAAUUUUUAUUUUUGCUUUGUGUUAAUGAUAAUUUGGUAGUAAAUGUGUUUAAUUAAAAAUCAUUAAAUAAAAAAUUAUUAAAAUUUGUCUUUUUAUUUUGGUGUGAAAUAAGACCUGGACAUGCUCUUGACAUGUUUUGUGAGGUUCACUGGCCCAUUAAAAGUCAGUGUUGUCAUGUAAUCUCUCUAACUCUCUCUCUCUCUCUCUCUCUCUCUCUCUCUCUCUCUCUCUCUCAUUCUUAGGUGUGUUUUCAGAUGUGACAAGCAGCACAGAGUCUCUCUCCAGCUCUAGCGUGGUCUCUCCUACUUACACAAGCACAAGCGUGCCAGUUUGGGCGUCUGUUGUGAGUGUUGAGACUAAAGUGAGUGCUCAGACCGAAAUCAGCAGCUCUGUGUCAAAUCACACAUAUGCUGGCAGCAUUCAGACUCAAACCAUCAGCUCUCUGCCAAUGCUGACAUAUGCUGAAAGAGCCGAAGUGAUGACUGAUAUGUCAGUCCCGGAGACAGGCACUGAUUCUGUGACAAUGGAUAUGUCAGUCCUAGAGACAGACACUGAUUCUGGUAAGUAUUAACGUUUGUUUCUGUUUGACUGUAGAUAUUAAAGACUGGGACACAUUUAUGCAAUUUAAGGAGUUAUUUAUAAAUCAUAUGUAGUAAACUCAUGCACUAUAUUCCAAGUCUGAUAACAUAUAAUAGUUUGAUACAGUCCAUUAAAAUUCACUAUCGGAAGUUAUAGAAUGUGUGUCUGUGUGUGCGUUCUGUAGUUUUGUCGCAUAUUCAUCUUAUAAUCAUUUUUGCAAAUGUCUUGACUCCACAGCAGAGAAAGCAAUUUUGUCUUUACUGUUCCAAUACUUAUGGAGGGCACUGUAUAUCUAUAUAUAUAUACACACAAACCCGAUUCCAAAAAAGUUGGGACACUAUACAAAUUGUGAGUAAAAAAGGAAUGGAAUAAUUUACAAAUCUCAUUAACUUAUAUU
ensembl:lncRNA